GUAAAAUUGCUGGGCAAGAGACAAAAAUCAGACACGCCGCAAUAGAAAUAUGCGGCUAAUGCCUGCCGACAGCCAAAAGGAUCGUCAUUAGCAUCCCGUAAAAAGAUCGAACGACAAAAAAUUGCCUAGGAAGAGCGAAUACUGCCCGGUUGCAGUAGCGAGGGCUACCAAUUCAUCACAGUCUGUCACUCCUCAUCCCUGUCUUUCGUCUGGCCGGGCCCAUCAAUCUCAGGUUGUAACUGUAUUACAGGGACAUGCAGCGUGAUGUAACAGCUUACCAGGCUGAUCCCUGGUGCUGCGCCACGUGCCACGUGCCACAUCCAGUCGCGCUGUCCUGUCCUGUGCUCUCCUGUCCUGUCCCUUCCCCUGUGCAGCUGCUGUUGCCGCCGACGCCGCCGCACUCAACAUUUUCAACCCCCUCAGAAGGGGUUUCAAUCGGGGGAUUUCGGGAUGGCGGGAGGGAGUGGUGGCUGGCAGUCUACUUUUUCC
rnacentral:lncRNA from 1 species